rnacentral:tRNA from 1 species
GAGGGUAUUGCUCAGUGGUAGAGUGUGUGCUUUGCACACGUGAGUUCCUGGGUUCAACCCCCAAUACCUCCA